CCGUGGGAGGAGCGUCUUUCGCGGGUUCAGGCCCGGAACCGGAGGCCGUACCGACCGCGCCAGGGCGCCCAAGUCCCUACACUUGCUUAUCCCGAGGCCUGGCUUCUCAAGGGCUUGCUCGCCCCCUGCCCCGGAGACCCCAGCUCGGCCAGUGUCCGCCCGCCGAAGCGCCCCCCAGCUCUCCGACCGCCCUGCCCCACCAUGGGGCACCCCAGCCCUGACCCCGAGACUCCGGGUGCACUCGGCGCGCAGGGCAUGGGGUGGGGUGGCCCGGGGCUCCCACUCCCAGGGCCCAGAUGGCGUUGGACUCGGGGUCCCCCCACCGGGCCGCGCGCUGCGACAUGGGGGCUCCAGGAGGGACUGCAGCACGUGUGUGUCAUCGCACGCUCACUCCCAUGCUCACACGCGCUCCGAAACGCACAUCCGCACACAGGGGCUCACAUGCACACAGACUCACAUGCACUGGGCACACACGCUCACAGACGUAGAUCUUCACACACAUGCACACGUAUGUGCACACAGCUGCGCACACACAGGCGCACUUCUCACCCCCCAAGGAAAUCAGACCUAGAUGUUUUGAAAUGUGCACUUUUUAUUGAACCGCAGCUCAGUGGCCCAAGUCCCAAGUGAAUCACUGGAUUUUCACAAACUGAAUAGGGUGGUGUAUCAGCACCCACGAGGUCCUCUGUAACAACCCAGGCGCAAAGAUUCUUUUUUUGUUUCUUAGUUCCGUGCCUCUGUUUCUUCUCGUUUUCUCUUUCUCAUUCCCUUACUCUUUUCAUCUCUGUUUUUCACUUGGGGAGGGGGGCCUGCAUCCCCUCCAGCAGCUGACACUGAAUGGAUGCAUGCCAACAGGAAUGCUCAAGCCUGGGGCACCCUGAACCGGCCAUUUCUCCAUCUUCCUCUGUCCUCUUGACCUCCCCGGAGAGGCAGGUAAGGGGUGGGGACUGAGGCUGGACCAGCUCCAGGGCCGUGGGGGCAGCUCCAGUCACUUACAGGGUGACAGGUGACUGUGGGUAAGGGCAUUGAUGCUCUGGCACAUUCUGAGGCAUCAGGACUGGGGAAUAGAGAACGGACUUGGGGGGCUGGUCCUGCGGUGGCCAGAAGGCUCUGGAGUAGAGGACAGGGCGGCCGUGGAUUCUGGGCCGGGACUGGGCAUUUGCUCAGGGGGCCAUCUCUGGGUACUCCCAGAUGCAGAAAGCAUCUCGCCUCUGACCUCAUUUGUUCACAGGAUCAACCUGUCUCGGUGGGGAGGGACCCUGGUGAUGGUUAUCACUGCCCUCUGGGUCCACAGGGGCCAACCAGCCAAAGCUGGUCAGUCAGGAUCAGGCUGGGAGGCCCCGGGUGUAGGUGCCUCUGCCUGACAGCCUGCUGGGGAGAGCAGAACCUUCCUCUCUGGCCGAUGGGGGCGGCUAACCCCUCUCCUUCCCUGGGGACGCCCCUCCCUGUGCUCUGCCUGUAUUCCACCCCACCCCAGGGGUCAGCACUACACUAUCUGUUGGUUCCUCUGAGGGUCCCUUUUUGCUUGGGCCCAGCACCCAGACUGCUGGGCAAACACGCCUGGAACAAAUGGAUGACUGUGACCCCAUCACUAAAUGGGGUUCAGAACAUGCUUUUUCCUAAAGAGCAUUUCAGGUGAGUCUUAGACCCAUCCAUCUUCCCCACGCACUUGUGUGUGCGUGUGUGUGUUGGGGGGCUGGCAUGGCCCCCGUAAUCCCCGACCCAGGAGAGCAUUUGGACCGUACACAUCAAGAACCCAGAAUACCUUGUACCUGGGAAAAGAGGGUCCAGGUAGAAGGCACACCUGGCUUUGGAAAGGGAGAGAGGAUGGGCAUGGUGGGGAGGGAGAGGUGACACUCCAGGACCCCCAGGGAUGGGCUGGGGAGACUGAGGCCUGUCCUGCCUUCCUCAGCUCCGUCCCAAGGUUUAAUGAGGACUUGGUGUUACAGGUAAACUCCCUGCUGGCCUGCAAGAUACUCUGAAUCUGUACCCCUAGAGUGUCUGAAAAACAGAUUUAUUCAUUAAAAGAAACAGGAGGCGCUUUAAAAGAUACGAAGUUUUAGCUGAUGACUCCAAGCAACUCAUGGAAGGGAUGAGAGGAAAGAUGUUAGCCAGUGAUGCGUCCAGACAGUCCCGGAAGGCAGUGGGCACUCGGACAUGUGCUGGAUGAAUGAAUGAAUGAAUGAAUGCCACCUGGAGGGCGGGGGUCAGCUCAGGCGCGGAAUUCCAGCCUAGAAAUCCCCACUGAUCCACAGAGAAUGGACACGGGCCUGGGUGUGCACCCACACCUGCACAGUCUUACUCUAACUCCCCUAAAGAUACUGUGUUUUGCACACAUUUCUAAUAAAGGGAGAGACAGGUUCCGUGUAA